AAAUUGACGGGAACCCGCACAAGCGGUGGAGUAUGUUGUUUAAUUCGAGGAUACACGAAGAACCUUUACCAGGUCUUGACAUACCAUUGACCGGUCUAGAGAUAGACUUUUCGCUUUCGGGCGACAAUGGAUACAGGUGGUGCAUGGUUGUCGUCAGCUCGUGUCGUGAGAUGUUGGGUUAAGUCCCGCAACGAGCGCAACCCCUAUUGUUAGUUGCCAUCAUUCAGUUGGGCACUCUAGCGAGACUGCCGGUAAUAAACCGGAGGAAGUGGGAUGACGUCAAAUCAUCAUGCCCCUUAUGACCUGGGCUACACACGUGCUACAAUGGUUGGUACAACGAGUUGCGAGUCGGUGACGGCGAGCUAAUCUCUUAAAGCCAAUCUCAGUUCGGAUUGUAGGCUGCAACUCGCCUACAUGAAGUCGGAAUCGCUAGUAAUCGCGGAUCAGCACGCCGCGGUGAAUACGUUCCCGGGCCUU
rnacentral:rRNA from 1 species